CCCGAAAACGUGAGCACCCUGCUUUGCAAAGCAGGGGUUCAGGCACCGGGGCAGAUCCCGAAGGCACCCCAAAAAUGUGAGCAGCCGUUUGCAAAGCCUGGGUUGGGGCACGGGGGGAGAUCCCAAAGGCACCCC